GAAAAAGAAGUUGAUACUCGUAUUCUCAAUUUCAACCGCAGACUGCUGUUAGAAGUGGGAUGGAGUGGGGUUUAUCAUAAUAAUCUGGAGUGUAGAUAAAAAUCCCCAUUUCCUAGACUAGCUUUAAAGAGAAUUAGGGUUCUCUGCGCUCUGCAGCUACCCGCAAUAAAACUCCCUCGUUUACAUCCGCCGCUAGCAAGCAAGCAAGCAAAACCGUGCCCCAAAUCGACACCAAUACGGUGGUGAUCGGAGACGCGGCCGUCGCCAACAUCAUACAGAAGUCGGUGGAGAUUGGGUCGGACUGUGAAGCAUGAGCUUGGGAGGCCCAAGAAAGCUCUUCCUCGUGCGGUGGCAGCGAAGGGAAUGAUCAGAGGAGAGCGCGUGGUUUUUCCUCUGCCUCCAAAAGAAGAUUCGUCAAUUUUAGUAAAAGAGCCUUUUUAAGUCAGAUCCCGCCGUCGAGAAAUCGAGGGAGACUAUCAAGAGGCUAGAUGGAGUCGCAACGGCUGUGGGAAGUUUCGGCGCCGCGAUGAAAGAGGGCAAGCAACCGCGCCAACAGCGUCAAACUCGGGGUUUAACCGAGAGGAAGGCGGUCGGACGGCACAAAGAGAGGGAGGAGGUGCUGCGAUGGUUGAAAGAUGAGGAUGAGAGCGGUAGUAAUGUCUCUCUCUUCUUCUCCGUCGUGGGGCCGUGGAGGAGUGGGGAAAACCACCUUAGCUCAACUCGUGUACAAUGAUGAGAACUUCGCUAAUUCUUUUAAUCGCAAAAUCUGGGCGUGUAUCUCCACUCGCUUUGAUGUCAAGAAGACCAUGACAGGCGUGACAGAAUACGCUGCAGAAAGUGGACCCGGAGUUGGGGGACUUGGCGCUCUGCAGGAAGCUCUUAAGAAGAUGGUAUCGUCUGUGGGAUAUUUAUCCUUGUCUUGGACGAUGCAUGGAAUGACGACAAUCGUUCUGAUCGGGAUAAAUUACUUGCUCCUCUGAGGAGCGGGCAUAAAGGAAGCAAAACCUUGUUAACUACUAGAACGGAGAGGGUUGCAGAAACGGCUGCAUCGGCUUCCGGAGGAUCAACAAAGGAACCAAUGAAAUUAAAACCCUUAGAUGAUGACAGCUUCCUGUCACUUUUCAACCAAUAUGCAUUUGCUGGUGAAAAUUCAUAUGCUUAUAGAAAAUUGGAAUCCAUUGGCGAGCAAGUAGCAAGAAGGCUUGGGGGCUUUGCCGUUUGUCACAAAGACUAUUGGAGCUCUGUUGAAUUCUAAAUUGGACGAUAGUCAUUGGACCCGAAUCUUGAAAUCAAGCUACCAUCAUUUACCAGUGCACCUAAGAUCUUGUUUUGCCUAUUUGAGCAUCUUUCCUCAAGAUUAUAUGUUUAUCAAAGAUGAUCUAGUCUUCAUGUGGACGGCUCUCGGCUUCAUUCAACAAUCUCCCCAAUAUCCAAGGGAGACACCGAGGAUAUAGGAAGGCGUUACUUUGAUGAUUUACUGAAGCUAUCAUGUCUCGAGCAAAUAUUACUACACAGAUCACUACACCAUGCAUGCUCUUUUGCAUGAUCUGGCACGUAAAGUGUCUCAUGAUGAAUGCUUUAGAUUUGUCAAAGAUAAGAAAAUUGAUCAGAUCCCAAAUACAGUACGCCAUUUGUACUUCAAAAUUGAUAAACUUAGCCUUCUUAAAGAUGUGGACAAAUGGAAGAAUCUACGCACCCUUGUGUUAAUCUUCAGAGGAUAUGUUAAUGAGCAUGCUAAGGCUUUUGAAGAAGUGUUUAAAUCACUGAAAAGCAUUCGGGUGUUGUGCCUAACUAUUGACGGCAUGAAAGUAUUGCCAAAUGCAAUUGGUAACUUGAGGCAUCUCAGGUACUUGUCAAUUCAUCAUGAUAUUCCUCGGUUGCCUGGUUCAUUCUGCAAGCUUUACCAGCUGCAGGUUCUGGCUAGUGAAAAAUUUUCUACUGAGUCUGUUCUUGGCUUGAAUGACCUCAUUUGUUUGAGACACAUGAUCACAAGUUAUGUUUAUUAUGAAAAAAAUCGAAGGGAUUGGAACACUGACUUCAUUUCAAUGGUUGUCAUUCCCUGCUAAUGCAUGAAAAAUUAGCAAAAUGAAGGACCUGACAGAGCUCCAUGUAACUGAUGAUCAGUGGCCUUAUGAAUGAUAAACCUUGCGAGGAAGUUAGUAUGAUUGAGUUGCAUGGAAAAAAAAAACCUCAUCAAGUUACAGUUGGUUUGGUCUUUGGUCUGAUCAUGGUGAUGUGGCGGAUGAGUACGAACUGGUUCUUGAUUGCCUACAGCCACCCGAUGGCCAAGGUGCCAGGUCUCCAUGUUAGAUGGAACCAGAAUUAUUAAAAAUCUAUGAAAUGAGGUCUCCUGAGGGUCUAUUGUUGUGACUCGAGUAUCUGGUUCACUUUUUAUUAAGUUAAGGCCUGACAUAUCUUUAGAUAUCUCGUCUAAUCUCUUAUUUAGUUUAUUAAUCAUGUCACCAAUCUCAUGGUAGAAAUGGAUGGCAAGAGAAUAAAUGAGGGAAGCUACAACAUACCAUUGAUGAAUCAGAUGAUGUAGACGGUAGCUAGAUGGCCAACCGUCUACAUCAUCUGAUUCAUCAACGGUAUGUUGUAGCUUCCAUCAUUUAUUCUCUUGCUUUAUUAGCAUCCAUUUCUGCCAUGAGAUCGGUGAUAUAACUAAUAAAUUAAAUAAGAGAUCGGACGAGAUAUCUAAGGAUAUGUCAGUCCUUAACUUAGUGAAAAGCGAACCAGAUACUCGAGUCACAACAAUGGACCCUCAGGAGACCUCAUCAAUCCAGAUCCUUUCUUUUUCGCAUUGUGGUGAAUUGGACAGUCUCUUUCCUACAUUAUUAAUGCAAGGUGGCCUAACUUGUCUUUAAAUAUUGAGUUGCAUGGUUGUAACAACAUAAUGUCCUUUCCCUCUGAAGAGGCCUGUGGAGUCUGUGGACGAUUAACUUCACUGAGUCGGCUGACGCUGAUAAAGUGUGGAGAGUUGACAUCCGUUGAGGGUUUAAAGGCUCUUCCCCACCUCCAUGUGCUUACUAUUUAUGACCGUCCCAAACUUGUGCAAGCAGUUGCAGCAGCAACCUCGACGUCAAUCAAGUGGAAGGAGGAGGAGUUCACAUUAACCGUUGACAAACUUGAUAUCGAUGACCUUUUGCUGCUGCACAUAGAGCCGAGCCAUUGAGAAAACUCACAUAUCUUAGACAGGUGCAUAUAACAGAUUGUAGUCAUCUCGAGGGUGCUCACACAGAGUCAUGGUUGCUGCAGAACACGGCUUCACUUCAAUGUCUCUAUCUGAAUAAUAUUGCAAAGAGCUUGCCUUGUAGCCUCCAAAAUCUCUCUUCCCUCAAGUACUUAGAACUUACUGAAGCUUAUGAGCUUCAGUCAUUAGCUCAACUGCCUUCGUCUCUGCCAAAGCUGAAGAUUUGGAACUGCAACGGGACACUGAAGGAGCAGUACCGGGAGAAAGAAGGUGCCUAUUGGCCCAACAUCCAACACAUCCGUUUCGUUAGGAUAAGUUGAUAGUGUCAUUUCUGGCAAAGCUAUUGAUGGGUUCAACUGCAGAUAAGCAAGACGCAGGGCAAUGAUCCUUUUCUGUUUCAAACAGUAUAAUGCAAUCGUGAGAGUAAUUAAAUCAUGGAGCUCUUUCUUGGAUGCUUUGAUGCUCUCUAUUGACCGGAAAGGAUUGGAUAUCCUCAGCAAAGUUGCUCAACAAGCAGUGACGGCCUUAGCACGAUGUGGAAGGAGUUCAGGUUCAAUUUUGAAAACGAGGCAAGUGAUCUUUAAGCUUUCUAUUCAGAGUGUUAAAAGCUACAGUGGGCUUGGCUGAAGAAGUAGACAGUUUCACUACAAAGUUUUCUUUUGACAGUCAUCUUUAGUGGGGGUUGAUGUUGCAAAGAGAUUGAAGGCUAUCUGAACAUUUGCUUGAUAAGUUUGUAUCAGUGAUCCUUUAAUGCAACAAUAUGUUUGUUUUACUGGAGAGAGUUGUGUACAAGAUUUUUAUCUCUAGAAAGUAGAUUUUGUCUUC